rnacentral:rRNA from 1 species
AUGCACGCUGGCGGCGUGCCUAAUACCUGCAAGUCGCGCGAACAGACGAGGAGCUUGCUCCUCUGACGUUAGCGGCGGACGGGUGAGUAACACGUGGAUAACCUACCUAUAAGACUGGGAUAACUUCGGGAAACCGGAGCUAAUACCGGAUAAUAUAUUGAACCGCAUGGUUCAAUAGUGAAAGACGGUUUUGCUGUCACUUAUAGAUGGAUCCGCGCCGCAUUAGCUAGUUGGUAAGGUAACGGCUACCAAGGCAACGAUGCGUAGCCGACCUGAGAGGGUGAUCGGCCACACUGGAACUGAGACACGGUCCAGACUCCUACGGGAGGCAGCAGUAGGGAAUCUUCCGCAAUGGGCGAAAGCCUGACGGAGCAACGCCGCGUGAGUGAUGAAGGUCUUCGGAUCGUAAAACUCUGUUAUUAGGGAAGAACAAAUGUGUAAGUAACUAUGCACGUCUUGACGGUACCUAAUCAGAAAGCCACGGCUAACUACGUG